rnacentral:rRNA from 1 species
CAAUAGCGUAUAUUAAAGUUGUUGCGGUUAAAAAGCUCGUAGUUGGAUUUCUGCUGAGAACGACCGGUCCGCCCUCUGGGUGUGUAUCUGGCUCUUUCUUGGCAUCUUCUUGGUGAACGUUGCUGCACUUGACUGUGUGGAGCGCUACCCAGGACUUUUACUUUGAGGAAAUUAGAGUGUUUCAAGCAGGCAUACGCCUUGAAUACAUUAGCAUGGAAUAAUAAGAUAGGACCUCGGUUCUAUUUUGUUGGUUUCUAGAGCUGAGGUAAUGAUUAAUAGGGAUAGUUGGGGGCAUUCGUAUUUAACUGUCAGAGGUGAAAUUCUUGGAUUUGUUAAAGAUGGACUACUGCGAAAGCAUUUGCCAAGGAUGUUUUCAUUGA